rnacentral:rRNA from 1 species
UACGUAGGGUCCGAGCGUUGUCCGGAGUUACUGGGCGUAAAGCGCGCGCAGGCGGCGGUGCUGGCCCGGCGUGAAAGCCCCCGGCUCAACCGGGGAGGGUCGUCGGGGACCGCACCGCUUGAGGGCGGUAGGGGCUGGUGGAAUGCCUGGUGUAGUGGUGAAAUGCGUAGAGAUCAGGCGGAACACCCGUGGCGAAGGCGGCCAGCUGGGCCGUCCCCGACGCUGAGGCGCGAAGGCGUGGGGAGCGAACGGG